AUGAACUUACUUAUGUGUUGUGAUUAUGGAUUUGAUUUCUCAUCUCAGCAGAUAAAAACUGGAUGCCUCCCUGGUGCAUCUCAAAACUGCUCUGAAAGCUUACAAGACUAUUUAAAAUUUGAAUAUGAGGAAGACGAAAAGAAUAGUGUUGACAGUGAGAGAAGUUGGCAGGAGAAGGGGAAGAAUUUUCCCUGGCCCCAGAUGUGAUGGAUCCAGAUCUGGAACACCCACAGCUCCUUUCUCCAGGUCUCCUGUUAGGAGAAAGGCUAGAAAGACCAUAGAAGGUAAGGAGAGGAUGGUAGAAUGUGAAAAAAUACAUGUACCUACCAGCAUAGAGCCAGGCAUUUUAUUUCAUAAAGGUGUCGUAAAGAUUAAGAAAUUAUUUGUAUCCACCACUGCCCCCAACCGCCAUUUUACGGGUGAGGAAACUGCUCCUAAACUGGCAUAUCAUCAAAGUCCUGUAACUAGUACAUUUCGGAGCUGGAAGUAAAAACCUAGGCCUGACUACAGAGCCCAGGCUCUCCCCUGCCUCCUGCCAGAACACCUACUGGUACAAGACUCAGGUGCCCCACUAUAAAAGCCUGCCACUCUUACGUGGGGCCUUCCCCCUACUCAUCUGAAUACAAAGGUUGCUGUGCCUGCCAAGAAGGAUGCAGGCUCUGUGCCCAAACUUCUUUUCGGCUCUUCAGAAGGACAAAUGCCCCUAUUUUCCCACAUGGGUUGAAAAUGGUUCCUUUGUACUCACAUUAAGCCUUUCAUCAGAGGCUCUUACCCUGUGAGAUUAAGUUCAAGGUGGCUCACUGAGUGCAUUCUCUUGCCUCCCUGCUCUUAGAAGAAUCUGGUGUUCAGACUGAGCCCUGGGUGCACACCAAGUGUAUUCUGUGGCUCCAGAGACCAAAAUGGCAAAUGGAGAAUCCUCAGAUAUGACAGAGAGAGCAUGGCUUCCUAUUACAUAGUAUGAGAGUAAUAGUCUCUCGGAGCCUAAGCAUGUGCCCAGGGUAAACACAUGUGCUUCCUUAGAGCUGUUAACCUCUCCUUUGACACUCGACUCUUCUUCAGUGGAUCCUCCCAGGUGGUUAGUUCUCCCUGCAGAGGCUGCGGGUGCAGAGGAAGCACUUGGUCCCAACUGUGCUCAUCCUCUAUGUGGUUUUAGCCAAGUCUGUUAACUCCUACUACAGUGUAUCUAUCUCAUGUGCCAGGAGGAGGCAGGCUAGCAUUCCAAGAGGCCUUCUACUUCCAAGAUUCUAAUCUGCUUUGGUAGGUGAGCUAUUAGAUAAAUUAAGAUGGUGUAUCUUAUGUCAGGAACUUUCUCUUCUGGAAACCCCAGGGGUGGGGAGGGGGCUUUCCUCUGAAAUAACAAAGUGCUGCCAGAGACCACAGGUGAUAUAUUUUUAAUAUGAGUAAUUAAGCCAAUUAGGGAUUAUUAGCCUAUGCAUAUUUUGUGUUAAAUCCUUUUUAUUAGAAUAUAAUGCAGAAUUAGAAGUUUAAUUGAUAUGUGACCUAGUGUUAAGCACUGUUUAUGAAUCUAAAGAUAGUAAGUCUGAUCAUUCUAAAUGUUAAGAGCAGACCUACAUAAGCUUAUUUUCAUGGGAGAAAAGAGUCUUGAUGCUUGAUGGUUUUCUUAAUUUUUUUUAGUUUUAUGUAUUUUGAGACAAAGCGUGCACACAAGUCGGGGGGGGGAGAGAGAGAACCCCAAGCAGGUUCCCCACUGUCGGCGUGGAGUCCAAUAUUGGGCUUGAACUCAUGAGCCAUGAGAUCAUGACUUGAGAUGAAAUUGGACGUUUAACCAACUGAGCCACCCAGGUGCCCUGGCUUUUCUUAAUAUUUUAAAAGGACAUAUAGUAAGCAUGAGUAAAGUAUAUGUGGUAAUUUUCUUAAGGUUUCUUGUUUGUUUUUAAACUAGAAUGCUAUGCCUUGCAUUUUCUUUUCUUUUGAUUUUCAAAUAUGUAUCUGUCCUUUAAAACUUACCUCCACUCAGAAGCUUGAUUUAUUUGUGUGGUUUGUAUGCGGUUGAUGUUUAUUUGGGUAAUCUGAGGUAGCAGAAGAGGAAUAUAUUUAAUCAUCUAACCUUUACAAUAAGGAACAUUUGAAAUGUCAGCAUUUUAUUUCAGGAACAGGUGAGCUAUUGCACUAUGAGGCUUUUAUUUAUUUAUUUACACCAUGUGUCUUUCUGAAAAGGAAUUUGAAAUAGCUUAGAACAGCUUAUAAUAAGGGUAAAAUAGUAAGAAAAAAAUAUGAAAGAUGAAACAGAGUAAAUAUUCCAACCAGAAGAGUCAACAUAGCUGCCAUGAUGGAAUAUAAGCCCGUGUGUCAGAUUCUUGGAAGCAGGAAAAGGCAAGAAACAAAUUACAUACUUCUUAAUAUUCAAAAGCAGGGAUCAAGUUCUUCUGGUUCAAAACUCAGAUCUCUAAUAGAGUACAUUAUAUAAAGGACAUUGGUUUAAUCCAUUCAACAAAUACCUAAGUACUCACUAUGUAGUCAGAUCUGGGUCAGGUGUUGGAGGCAAAGCUAUGCAGGUAUGAGUGCUCUUCUCACGAAGCUGUGUCUAUGGGUACGAUACAGAUCAAACCUAUUUAUAACCAAUUACACUUCUUUUAUGUAGUUUAAUGAAAGUAGCAAUUCCUAAGCUCUUAAAUUAGCUUAAUUUCUUCUCUGACUCCCCAACUGAGACCUGAAAGCUGAGUAGGCGCAAACCCAGUUGAGGGGACAGAAGAAGUGGCUGGAUAGGUUGGAGAAAUGGCAGAAAGUUGUGUGUCUGGAGGAGGCGGUAUGGACAGGAGAGGCCAGGAGAGGCAGGUGAUGACAAGGUAAGCUUUACUUUAUCAAAGUAAAAAAUGUGGGUCUAAGUAGACAGCGUUUAUUUUUAAUUUUUAUUUAUUUUGAGAGAGAGCAUGUGCAUGCAAACGUAGGGAAAGGGCAGAGAGAGAGAGAGGGAGAGCCAGAAUCCCAAGCAGGCUCCACACUGUUAGUGCACAGCCUGACCUGGGACACAAACCCAGCACCCACAAGAUCAUGACCUGAGCUGAAGCCUAGAGUUGGAUGCUCAACCAACUGAGCCACUCUGGAGCUCACAAGUGGGGGAGACAUAUUUAUUUCUUGAGAAAUAUUGGCCUUUAUUUUAAAAUUACUAUGCUCAAGAAACUACAUACUUUGUCUUACUUUUUUCAAGUAAAACUUGACAAUCCUUUGUCAGUUCCCAAGAAAACUUUAAAAAAAUUUUUUUAACUGGUCUAUGAAACCCCAAAACCUGGGAAACAUUGGUCUACAUAGGACCCUCAACAAUUAUGGCUGGAGAGACAUGAGAAGAGUAAAAAUUUGGAGUUGAAGCAUAGUGUAGUGGCAGGAUUUCCUCAUGGGACUGAGGAACACAUAAACCAUGGCUACCCUGGACAGUUACUUGGACUGAACAGUGUACUGAGCACCUAGCUCAUGAAAUAAGUGGAAAAUGAAAUCUGAUCCUCAUUCCUCUUACUGAAUAAUGUAUCUUGGUACAGGGCAGUGUCUUCUUGGAAGAAGGGAGGCUUUUUUUUUAGGAAGACACUGGCCAGUGGUAACACAUAUUGUCUUCCAGUGAUCUAGCUUGAUCCAAAGAUAGAAUUUAAACCUGUAGGAGUAGAUACAUGGCAUGAAGCUAGAAUACCUGUUACACUUUUUCUGCCAGGUAUAUUUUUUAAUGUGUACAACUGUUCUUCAUUACCCUCUAGUAGGGGUCUAAAGUGCUAGCUGUUGAUGAUUAAAGAUGGAUCUAUGUGUUUAAAAAUUAAGUUGGCAAGUGGAAGCAUGAGUGGCAGUGAGGGAAGAAGAAAAUAUUGUGUCCUAGUCAUUGAGUUAGAUACUUUAGUAAUUUUACAUGAUUGUACAUAAGUUUGCCCAUAGAAUCCUGACGAGUCCUGUCCUUGAGAGGUAGCAUAUGAUCCAAGGAGACUGCUUCUUGAGAAAAGUGGUAGCUUUAACUAUUCUCAACUUUUAAUUUAGACUUCACUGGAGCAAUCUUUUUCUCAAGACCUCACAAUAAAAGUAGAGAUGGUUCUAGUCA
rnacentral:lncRNA from 1 species